UCAUUAAUCAUCUAGUUUAUUUUUUAAUAAGUACUUACAUUAGUAUCCCCACACAAAUAAGACCAGUUAUAUGUACGAGUAUAUUUCUAACUUUAAAAAUAGAUGUCACUCUCUUCUCCGCUUGUAGCUGUUGCCUCUUCUCCUCUUCGAACUCUACCGUGACACAACAAAGUCUGACUUCGUAUUUAACGGUGGGAAGUGAGACAUAAGAUCAAGACAAUGAUCGAAAUAUAUGGCUCGGAUGGCGGCGUUAAUGGCGGCUGUCAAAAGCAGUUGUUGGCCUCGCCAUCGGCAUUCGGAAGAUCGGUCGUUGUGUGCUGACGAUAACCUAUGAGAACUAAAACGUCAAAGCC
rnacentral:lncRNA from 1 species